rnacentral:rRNA from 1 species
UACGGAGGAUGCAAGCGUUAUCCGGAAUGAUUGGGCGUAAAGCGUCCGCAGGUGGCUAUGUAAGUCUGCUGUCAAAGCGUCUGGCUCAACCAGAUAAAGGCAGUGGAAACUACAUAGCUAGAGUAAGGUAGGGGUAGAGGGAAUUCCUGGUGUAGCGGUGAAAUGCGCAGAUAUCAGGAAGAACACCCGUGGCGAAGGCGGCUCUCUGGGACGGUACUGACGCUGAGACGCGAAAGCGUGGGGAGCGAACAGG